GGCGGUUGAUCCUGGUUCACUGUUGCAGUACCUCAGAUGUUGGUGAUGGAGAAGCAUUCCUUGGAUUCGGGGAGUGGUGCUGGAAAUGGAGAGAAACAGGGAGAUUUGGGAAUCGUUUGGAAGUUAUAUAUGCCAGUUGCGGGUCCUUCUAGUUGUGGCAUGUGGAAUGCCGCCUCAACGUGGCCUGAUGAGCGGUGCCGUGUCUGUGCCCAGGAUCCGAGCCGGUGAAACCCUUGUCCACCACAGCAGAGUGUGGGAACUUAACCACUUGGCCAUGGGGCCGGCCCCUCAAUAUUUUGCUAUCAUGACCAUCGUUACCAGUAACUUUCUUGUGAUUGUCCUGUACACGUGCAAGAGAUGCUCUAAGGUUUCAUUUUUAUUUGUUCAAUCUUGAAAGAGCAACAAAGGUAUAACGUGGCAUAUUUUAAGAAAUGACUCCGUAGAAGCAGAGUGGCCGAAGUUAAGAACACGGACAGUCCAGCCACAGUGCCUGAUGUCACAUCCUGUCUCUGCCUGCAACAGGCUGUGUGAUCUUGGGAGCUGGAAGACAAGUUCAAGUGUGUGGCUUUUAUGUCAAGUUCUAUAGGCGUAGACCUAGUAGGGACAUUUUUUGUACCGAGAUGAGUUGCUUUCUGACUUUGUUCUUUGGUUUUCUAAGCAUUUUAGAGGCAAAAUAAUAUCCUUCUUAUAUGACUCUUUUCUCCUUUCUUCCAUUAUUUCUUAACGGUGCUAUUAGUUCUGGGUGGUUAUUCCCCUCUACUCUUUCUCGCUUUUCUCCUUGAAAGGCACAAUAAAAGUGUUCUGGCCAUUUUUGUGACUUCUGAGUGUCCACAAUCCAUCGUUGAUGCUGAAGAGCAACGGCUAGUUUGGAGAGAGAUCCCACGUCUUUCCACCUGUCCUGCGUCUCCACCCCUACUCCAUUUACUUUUCUUCCAAAUUUGGAGAUGGCAUCAUGGCAUGUGUUAAAAUUCCUUAUCUUGGUAUGCUCUCUGAUGAGGGAUUAGAGAAGCUGCUUGUUAGUUCUGUCAGCUUGAUCCUGGGAUAAAACCUGUAUAAAGCACUUCCACCGUGAAUAAUACAUGGGAGAUGCACAAACAUGCACAAAGAAACCAGUUACAGG
rnacentral:lncRNA from 1 species